GGUAGCGUGGCCGAGCGGACUAAGGCGCUGGUUUAAGGCACCGUCUCUUCGGAGGCGUGGUUCGAAUCCAACCGCUGCCA